ACUUGGUAGACUGGUUUUAAGCAUGGAAGGAUUUAAAUAGAUCAAACCGGCUUCUCUGUUGAGUGAGAAUUGCAGGAAGCCUUAUUCAGAGAAAGGAUGCAAAGCUGCUUAGGAGGAUAAGGAACACGCAAGAGUCUGAUUGCUCUAAAAUUAUCCUAGCCUACACGCGGGCAUGGGUUAAAGCCCCUUACACAAAUACGGUGAGUGUUACAUUCUUUUGCUGUUUCGCUGUUGCUGAAUGAAUGACUGAAUGAAAGCAUCUCCCAAGGCUGCCUGCUUGCUUACCUUCUCACAUGAUGCUUCUUUGCCUCUCUGUUCCUUAAGGAGCUUUCCCUCCCUUCUUUCUUGCCCCACAGUCCCCAAACUCACCAGUGUGGGCAGAAGGAGAAAAGGAAUGUUCUAUCCAGCCCCAUACCCCAGCACCUGCUGGGCAACUUUGUCUUCCCUUCUGCAAAAGAAAAGAAGUCCCCUCAAACACAGGAGAGGAUGGGAAAAGGCAUCUCUCUAAGCAGUAACCCUGGCAGGGCCCUUCAGGAUUCCCAAAUUCCCAAUUUAUAGACAGGGAAACUGAUCCCUAGAGAAGGGAAGGGACUUGCCCAUGUCCACACAGCAUGUUAGUGGGACACAUCAUGAAACAUAAAAGCAGGAAGAGGGUCUAGAAACCAUCUAGCCCUACCCCCUCAUUUAGAGAAAGGAAAACCGAGGCCCAGAGAGGGAGAGUUAGUGACAGAGCCACAACAAGAACUCAGAAGAGGGUCAGCUGGUGUGCAACCAGCUCAGUGACACAAAAGCCUGUGCUAGGGAUUUAAUGUUCUACUGUCGUGUCUUGAAAUUCUUCAUAUCUUAUCUGUAAAUGUGUAGUUUGUAAAUGAAGUCUGUGAGAUAACACAGCAGGCACCCAGGCCAACAGCCUCAGUUCAAGUGCAGUCCGGCCCCUCCCUCACCAGGUGGGUUCUCAGUGCCAGCUUCCCCAACCCCCUGCUAUCUCCUCCUCACAUCCCUUCUUCUCUCUCUUCCCCCCAACAGCUGCCAGUCUGCUAUCUGCAGGGCACUGGCACGGGAGGCUGAGCAUGCACAUCCCACAGCAUUUGGGUAGGACACGACUGCAGCCAUGCCUGCCCUAGAGGUUGAUGACAUCGUGGUGCCUUCAAGGGGGGAAACUGGCAGGGCAAGCCUUUCCCCUAUGCUAGAGCCUCUGACAUGGAGGUUGCAAGAUGUGGGGGUACCUGUCCACCAUGGAUUGGGGUGAAGGGCCUGUGGGAAAGGAGGAUGCCUGGCUUCCCUUCUCCGGGUCCUCUUGCCUCAGUGUAGGGGACCUGGCAGCAGAUGGGCACUGGUGGGCCACACUGCAGGGGAAGGCUCCUGGGUGCCUUGAGGGCCUCCGUGCUCCUCUCCAGUAGCUCCAUGCCCAAGGUAGCAUAGCAUUAAAUAGCAAAUACACAGCACAAGAGGGGCCACAGAAGUGGGGUGGGGCUUUAUGUUUGGGUACCUCUCUCCUGCCUGUGGAACAAAAGGCUUGUGUUUGCAAUGUGCCCUGGGCUGUCACAUUAGGUAGCUGUCCUGACUCAGGACUUCUGUUGCUCUGGCCACCAGCCCCCAGCACUCAGCACCGCUGGACAACACCGGUGUAUUCACGUUCAGUCUAGUGCGUUCCCGGCCCUGUGCUGGGCCUCUUUUCCCUGUUUUCUUGUUUGCAGCCUUGUCGUAACUGAGUGAGGUGUGCACUAUUAUUAGACUCAUUUUACAGGUGAGGAAAGACAGCUGCCCAUAGGCUGAGUUAACUUGUCCACGUCCUCCACCAGGGAAGCAAGAGAGCCAAGCUCCCCACCCAGGUGGCCUGGUGCUCCUGUCCUGGCCCGACAUGCGGGCAGUCGGGCCGUCGGGAAAGGAAAGCGCAGUGUAGAGGAGCUGCUUCUCACCGCCUCUCCUCCCCUCCCCACCUUCCCCGGGAACUCAUGCCCCUCCCCUGCACUCCUGCUCCUUGCCGGCUCGCCCUGGGCCGCUCCGAAGGGAGGAGACCACGUGACCCAGGUCACCGGUAACCAGGCAACCGUUCCAAGACACUGCUUUUCAUCCACUCUGGCUUCUACCUUAUUCAAUAUCUGCCAGGCGGGCAAGGCUCCUGGGAGCAUCCCUGAAGCCAUUUCUCUGGGCCAGGAGCCAGCUGUUCCCAAAAUGGCCACGAUGCCUCAGGAGGGAGGUUGACACCCUGUGCUCUCAGAAGCAGCUCAGAGCUCAGAGGCAGACCUCUACUCAUGCAAUUCUGCCUUCUGUGCAUGCAAUGGAUUGCUGCCAUCUCCAAUCAGCCACAAUGGGAGGCCACCUGCUAGACAUGGAAGAGCCACCGGAUGGAAGAAGCCUGGGUCUCUGAAAUACUGCUUGGAGUAGACUACUCUGCCUGCAAACUAGGAGCACUGAUUUUGGACUUUUUGGGAGGGACUUCUAUGCCCUCUGCAGUUUGCCUCUUCCUCUGCUAUUUUUUCAUGUAUGUGUAUGUUUUUUGCCUGUAUUUGCAAUGCCAGCCAUCAUUUGCCAUGUCUUCUAGCGGCAACCUGCAUUUAGCCCAGAUCUGCUGUGAUUAUUCCUUUUCACAAACCACAAUGACUCUGGAAAACCUGGCUGUAAACACCAGCACUGCCACCAGCUAAGGAUCUGUGAUCAGGAGUGCCAUCUCACGGUAACAGGAAUAUGAAGUCUGAGGUUUCUGCUCUGACAAGAGGAAAUGUCUAACAGCAGAAGACAAAAGUGAAACCGGGCUGAUGCGAAUCACUGGGAAACUGGCUUUGGCACCUCCAGAGAAUGAACUGUUUCAUAGCCUAGCUGACCAUCCAUGAAAAUGGCUGCCUGGAGAGGCAGUGAUCAGCCCAUCCCUGCAGGGUGAAGAUAAGCUUGUGCAGGCCACUGGCUAACACAGUUCAUCCCAUGCCUCCUACAUACCAAGCACUGUGCCAGGCACUUUUCACGUCUGGCAUCCUCAGAAUCCUCCAAAAGGAGAGGUUCGUGGAGGAUAAUGCUGUCAGGCUUGGAAGCAGCAGUAGAGAUCACGUUGCCCAGCUCUUGGCAUCAUUGGUUCCCAAAGCUCUGAAUCCCCUGGAGAGCUUUUGUAAAAGGUCGGAUUCAGACAAUCCGGUGGAGCACUCUGAAAUUUAGAGGAAGUGGUCAAAUAGAAUUUUCUGGAAUUAUGGAAAUCUUCUAUUCUGUGCAUCUAGUAUAGUAGAAUCUAGUCACAUGUGGCUUUUGAGAACUGGAAAUAUGGCUAAUGCAACAGAGAAAGUGAAUUUUUACUUUUGAUUCAUUUAAAUAUAAAUGGUCACAUAUGACAUCACUGCCAUAUUGGACAUUGCAGUUCUGGAAGAUGGCAGAUGCAGCCCUCAGAAGAAUUAUCAGCCUGAAUGUCUGGGCGGAGCAGAGCACUACCUUCCCACUCACUCUUCCCCUCCUCUCGCCCCCUCCCCUGCCUCACUUGCAUCAGAUUAUGAUGUGAGCAAAAGCAGGAAACAGCUCUUUUGAUAGGCCUGUGAGACUUGCUGUUCGUUGGAGUAGCUAGGCUGCUCUGACUCAUACAGACCCAAAUCCUGGCAACCACUUUUAUGAAGAAAUGACAAUUCAGUCUACUACUUGUCCAUUUUACAUGCCCAAGGAAUGUGAGGGGCCUCUGCUUGGAUCUAGUUUUCAACCUAGUCUAUGGCAUUGAUUAUCCUUUUAAAAGACAAAAGAGGUGACUUCACGGGCACUUAACAUCUUGGCCAUACUGACCCCAGUUGCACGCUACGUAGGAAGUUUUAGUCCAUUUAAACUGAAGUUCCAAUUUUUUUUUUAACAACUAUUUAAAAAUUGUACAUGUCCCAUACAUGACAGAGAAAGGGUUGUCUGGUUGGAUGAUUUUUGGCUUGCAAAAAGAGAACACAAAAGAAAAGCAUACGUUUUAAUACUCAAGAGACCAAAUUUUCUGCUGAAGAGGAAAUGAACUACAUAUCCAGAAGGGUCCUACCAAGAGGCCAAACAGACUGUGUUCUCUUGGGGGAGUUCUCAGUGGUGAUGAGAACACCACUUUUUUUUUUUUUUUAGUCAUUUUCAAGGUGAGAUAUUGACUUGCUGCUGGAGCAGGACAACUGGUCUCUCUUUCAUUGCUAGCAGCAGAGUAAGGGUCUUGCAAGUUUCAGGCAGCAGCAGAGAAAGGGUCUUGCAAGUUUCAGUCCAAAGCAAGAAGAGCUAGGAUUGCACCAGCUGUCUCACCUACUCUGUGCUCACCUGUUUCUGGAUGAAGCACGGUGACAUCUGUUUUAUUGUAAAGAGAACCAACUUUGGAAUCAAAUGGAACCUGUAUUAAAAUCCUGAAUCCGUCACUAGCUUGGACAAGUCA
rnacentral:lncRNA from 1 species